CUACGGGAGGCAGCAGUGAGGAAUAUUGCACAAUGGGGGGAACCCUGAUGCAGCAACGCCGCGUGGAGGAUGACGCAUUUCGGUGUGUAAACUCCUUUUAUAUGUCAAGAAAAUGACGGUAGCAUAUGAAUAAGCACCGGCUAACUCCGUGCCAGCAGCCGCGGUAAUACGGAGGGGUGCAAGCGUUACUCGGAAUCACUGGGCGUAAAGGACGCGUAGGCGGGUUGGAAAGUCAGGUGUGAAAUCCUACAGCUUAACUGUAGAACUGCACUUGAAACUUCUAAUCUAGAGUAUGGGAGGGGGAGAUGGAAUUAGUGGUGUAGGGGUAAAAUCCGUAGAUAUCACUAGGAAUACCUAAAGCGAAGGCGAUCUCCUGGAACAUUACUGACGCUAAGGCGUGAAAGCGUGGGGAGCAAACAGGAUUAGAUACCCGUGUAGUC
rnacentral:rRNA from 1 species